UACGUAGGGUGCGAGCGUUAAUCGGAAUUACUGGGCGUAAAGCGUGCGCAGGCGGUUUUGUAAGUUUGUCGUGAAAGCCCCGGGCUCAACCUGGGAAAUUGCGAUGAAGACUGCAAGGCUUGAAUCUGGCAGAGGGGGGGUAGAAUUCCACGUGUAGCAGUGAAAGUGCGUAGAGGAUGUGGAGGAACACCGAUGGCGAAGGCAGCCCCCUGGGUCAAGAUUGACGCUCGAUGCACGAAAGCGUGGGGAGCAAACAGGA
rnacentral:rRNA from 1 species